rnacentral:rRNA from 1 species
UACGUAGGGUGCGAGCGUUAAUCGGAAUUACUGGGCGUAAAGGGUGCGCAGGUGGUUUUGUAAGUCAGAUGUGAAAUCCCCGGGCUUAACCUGGGAAUUGCGUUUGAAACUACAAGACUAGAGUGUGGCAGAGGGGGGUGGAAUUCCAUGUGUAGCAGUGAAAUGCGUAGAGAUAUGGAAGAACAUCGAUGGCGAAGGCAGCCCCCUGGGUUAACACUGACACUCAGGCACGAAAGCGUGGGGAGCAAACAGGAUUAGAUACCCUGGUAGUCCACGCCCUAAACUAUGUCAACUAGUUGUUGGGUCUUAUUAGACUUGGUAACGAAGCUAACGCGUGAAGUUGACCGCCUGGGGAGUACGGUCGCAAGAUUA